UACGUAGGGUGCAAGCGUUGUCCGGAAUUAUUGGGCGUAAAGAGCUUGUAGGCGGUUUGUCGCGUCUGCUGUGAAAAUCCGGGGCUCAACCCCGGACUUGCAGUGGGUACGGGCAGACUAGAGUGUGGUAGGGGAGACUGGAAUUCCUGGUGUAGCGGUGGAAUGCGCAGAUAUCAGGAGGAACACCGAUGGCGAAGGCAGGUCUCGUGGGCCAUUACUGACGCUGAGAAGCGAAAGCAUGGGGAGCGAACAGG
rnacentral:rRNA from 1 species